rnacentral:lncRNA from 1 species
AUGGGGAGGGCGCGAGUGUACCGGGGGGGCUGGCCGUGGGGCUGGCAGCCCGCCCUGCCCGGGUACGUGGCUGAGUGCUGCUCGUGCAGAAUUUUGCAGCUGCAGAGCUGGUGCCGCGAGCACCGCGCAGGCAGACAUCAGAGAGGAGCGCUAACAGAUUCCCUGUUAUCUCUGCCCAUUGACAGCUCAAUUAGAGGCAGAGAAAUGGCAAACGGGGAGAAAACAGACGUUCUCCCUAGAGGAGGAGGGCACAGCAGGGGAGGGGGUGACGUCUGGUGGCAUGGGGCCCUUGCAGGGCAGAAGGGCAGCAAGCCCUUCCUCUGCACCUGCAGAAACACCGGCGCUGCAAAAAGCAGUGGGUGCAGAGCCUCAGCAGUGUGCACUCACAGAUCUGGGGAUGCUCAGAUCUACUUCUGGGGUUGCACAUAUCCACACCUGGGGAUGUGUGCACCUCUGCUGGCAUACGUGCAUACUCAAGUGUGUCCUAGGAUGCCCCCACACCCAGGUCCCUUUCCCACACUGCUUGUCACACUGUAUCACCACUCACCUCCUGCCUGGCAAUGGCCGUGCCAGUUGCCAUGGCAAUGUCUCGCCUGUGGAGAGAUGAGGUUCACUCUCCCACGCAAUGGAGAGGGGCCGAGAGCGUCUGGGGGGGCACAGCUGUCCCUGACACCCCCAUGUGUAUGCCCUGGGCUGUGCCCACCUGUGUUCCCCUCGUGGGAGCUGGGCUGGGUGGGAAGGGGCCAUGGCUGGUGGCUGUCCCCUGGGGCUGUGACACUGGGUGUCCCCUUGGUGCUCAGUGCUGGGCCUUUCUUGUGGGCUCCAGCUGCCCCACAAGGCACAGACCCACUACCUGCAGCACAAGAGGUCAUGUCGCAGAGUGUCCCCUGCUGGGAUGUCCUCAUCCCAUCAGCACGUCCCAGCCAUGUUGCUCCAGAGCACCCCUUGCCUGGUGCCCAGGAUUCCACGGUGCCCCCACCCCCACACAGCCCCUGGCCCCUCCUCUUUGCCGCCAGCCCCUCCAGGCCUUGCCAGACCUCCUGCCAGAUGCCCCACUGUGGGCUUUCCAGCUGUAACCAGAUGGCCCUUCUCCAUCUGCUGAGCCUGGGGGGCUAUUUUUAG